UAAUACCGGAUGCUUGAUUGAACCGCAUGGUUCAAUUAUAAAAGGUGGCUUUUAGCUACCACUUACAGAUGGACCCGCGGCGCAUUAGCUAGUUGGUGAGGUAACGGCUCACCAAGGCAACGAUGCGUACCCAACCUGAGAGGGUGAUCGGCCACACUGGGACUGAAACACGGCCCAAACUCCUACGGGAGGCAGCAGUAGGGAAUCUUCCGCAAUGGACAAAAGUCUGACGGACCACCGCCGCGGGAGUGAUGAAGGUUUUCGGAUCGUAAAACUCUGUUGUUAGGGAAAAACAAGUACCGUUCGAAUAGGGCGGUACCUUGACGGUACCUAACCAAAAAGCCACGGCUAACUACGUGCCAGCAGCCGCGGUAAUACGUAGGUGGCAAGCGUUGUCCGGAAUUAUUGGGCGUAAAGCGCGCGCAGGCGGUUUCUUAAGUCUGAUGUGAAAGCCCCCGGCUCACCCGGGGAGGGUCAUUGGAAACUGGGGAACUUGAGUGCAAAAAAGGAGAGUGGAAUUCCACGUGUAGCGGUGAAAUGCGUAAAGAUGUGGAGGACCAGCCAGUGGCGAAGGCGACUCUCUGGUCUGUAACUGACGCUGAGGCGCGAAAGCGUGGGGAGCGAACAGGAUUAGAUACCCUGGUAGUCCACGCCGUAAACGAUGAGUGCUAAGUGUUAGAGGGUUUCCGCCCUUUUAGUGCUGCAGCAAACGCAUUAAGCAACUCCGCCUGGGGAGUACGGUCGCAAGACUGAAACUCAAAGGAAUUGACGGGGGGCCCGCACAAGCGGUGGAGCAUGUGGU
rnacentral:rRNA from 3 species